UUAGAGUGCUCAAAGCAGGCUCGAUCGCCUGAAUAAUUAUGCAUGGAAUAAUGGAAUAGGACCUCGGUUCUAUUUUGUUGGUUUUGAGACCCGAGGUAAUGAUUAAGAGGGACGGACGGGGGCAUUCGUAUUGCGACGCUAGAGGUGAAAUUCUUGGACCGUCGCAAGACGUACAACUGCGAAAGCAUUUGCCCAGAACGUCUUCAUUAAUCAAGAACGAAAGUCAGAGGUUCGAAGGCGAUCAGAUACCGCCCUAGUUCUGACCCUAAACGAUGCCAACUAGUUUUCCGUCUGUGUUAAUCCCAUGACUGGACGGGCAACUUCCGGGAACCAAAGUACUUGGUUCCGGGGGUAAGGUAUGGUUGCAAAGCUGAAACUUAAAGGAAUUGACGGAAGGGCACCACCAGGAGUGGAGCCUGCGGCUUAAUUUGACUCAACACGGGGAACCUCACCAGGCCCGGACACCAGAAGGAUUGACAGAUUGAGAGCUCUUUCUUGAUUCGGUGGGUGGUGGUGCAUGGCCGUUCUUAGUUGGUGGAGCGAUUUGUCUGGUUAAUUCCGAUAAACGAACGAGACUCUAGCCUAUUAACUAGUCGGAUGGUCUACUUUAAAAGUGCUAUCCGUAGCUUCU
rnacentral:rRNA from 1 species